rnacentral:rRNA from 1 species
GACAAACGCUGGCGGCGUGCAUAAAACAUGCAAGUCGAACGGACCAAAGCCCGCAAGGGCUGAGGUGAGUGGCGAACGGCUGAGUAACACGUAGGUGACCUGCCCCGAAGUGGGGGACAACUCGUCGAAAGACGAGCUAAUACCGCAUGUGAUCACCGAUUCAGUUCGGUGCUCAAAGUCGCAAGACGCUUUGGGAGGGGCCUGCGGCCGAUUAGCUAGUUGGUGGGGUAAUGGCCUACCAAGGCCGCGAUCGGUAGUUGGCCUGAGAGGAUGACCAGCCAGACUGGGACUGAGACAUGGCCCAGACUCCUACGGGAGGCAGCAGUUAGGAAUUUUUGUGCAAUGGGGGAAACCCUGACACAGCCACGCCGCGUGCGGGAUGAAGGCCUUCGGGUCGUAAACCGCUUUUC